AGACGUGGGAGGGAGAGAUUUUCUCCAUUGCAUCAAGAUUUGCCGGUGAAGAAGCUUCAUUCCUCGUUGUGGGGAGUCUUGGGACGGUGGGAAGCUUGGAGAAAGAGGGUUUUUUGGUUUUUAACACCAAGAAGGUAAGAAAUAACUCAUUUUUGCCGUUGAAUCGUUCAUUUCUCUUAUUUCCUACAUUUAUUUGUAUGUUUUUACUUGUUUUGUAAAGAUAUAAUGUCGGAUCCUGCAUGGCAGUGGUGUACAAGGGUGAAUCCCAAAAAUAGAUUAAGAGUUAAGUGCAAUUAUUGUAAGCAAAUCAUAUCAGGAGGGAUUUCUCGCUUUAAACACCAUAUAGCUGGUACACACAGCGAUGUGGCUGCUUGCAAUGGCUCCCAAGAGAUCCCAUUGCCAACGUAUGUAAAGCACCAGUGUCAGCAACUUCUUGAUGCAGUGAAAGCAAGUAGGAUUGAAAAGGACAUGGAAGAUGCGGAGGAAGGAUAUGGGGACCCACAUGAAGGAGAAGAAAGUGAAGGUGAAGAUGUUCAACUUGAACAAGAAGAUGUUGGUGUCAGUUUGGAAACAACUAAAGGGAAAGGCAUCAUGCAUGGUGGUGGUUCUUCUGCAACCAGAAAAAGAAGAGGUGCAAGUGUAAGUUCAGUUUCACGAGGACGUGGCAGAAGUCAGGGUCGUACUGGUGGUGGUAGAGUACCUACUAUGAAGUCGAGCAAUAUGUCUGGUUCGAUCAAGAAUUUUUUUCCCAAUUAUACUGCUGCUGGUGCUCAGCCUGAGAUUCGUAUAGCCAUGCAAUCAAAGGAUAUUAUUGAAGCAGCAGAUGAAACCAUAGGAAGGUGGUUCUAUGAUGCAUCCAUUCCCUUCAAUGCAGCAAACUCUUAUCAUUAUCAGCCUAUAGCAGAUGCGAUUGCUAGUGUAGGGCGAGGGUAUAAAAUGCCCUCUUUUCAUAAAUUGCGAGGUAAAAUUCUCAACAAUAUAGUUAGAGAUGUGAAGACAUAUUGUGAUGAACUAAAAUUGAGCUGGAAAGCUACAGGAUGCAGUGUAAUGGCAGAUGGGUGGACAGACAUCAAGAACAGAACAUUGGUAAACUUCCUUGUAUAUUGCCCUCUUGGUACUAUGUUCUUAAAAUCUGUUGAUUUGUCUGAUACUCCUAAGACUGCUGAUGUGUUGUUUGGGAUUUUUGAUAAAGUUAUAGAAGAAGUUGGGCCUGAAAAUGUCGUACAAUUUAUCACUGAUAAUGCAGCAAAUUAUAAAGCUGCAGGUGAAAUGUUAGCAGCACGAUAUGGGACAUUUUAUUGGAGUCCAUGUGCUGCUCACUGCAUAAAAUCUUAUGCUUCAGGAUCUUGGUGAAAGGGAUGAUAUGAAGUUGACAGUUCACAGAUGCCAAGAAAUCACAAAGUUUAUUUACAAUCAUGCUUAUGUCUUGAAUUUGAUGAGGAAAUUCACAAAUGGGGCUGAAUUGAUUCGACCUGCACAAACACGGUUUGCUACAAAUGUUUUGACUGUGCAGGGUAUAGUCAAGCAAAGAACUUCUCUCAGGCAGAUGUUUUCAAGUGAUGAUUGGGCUGCAUAUCCACAUGCCUAUAAAAGAAAGGCUACGACAGUUGUGGAUACCAUCUUCGAUGUUGACUUUUGGGAAUCAUGUGUGCACUUAUUGAAGAUUUGUGUACCUCUAGUGAAAGUCCUCAGAUUAGUUGAUAGUGAAGAUAGACCUUCUAUUGGAUAUUUAUACGAGUCUAUGGAUAGAGCCAAGGAGGCCAUUAGAGAUAAUAUGAAGGGAAAAAAGAAGUUGUACAUGCCUAUAUGGAAGAUUAUAGAUGAAAGGUGGUCUGGACAACUUCAUCGCCCACUUCAUGCAGCAGCCUACUACCUAAAUCCUGCUAUUAGAUAUCUUCCCACUUUUAAGAAGGACAGAUAGGUCGAGUAUGGCAUGUUGGAUUGCAUUGAUGUGUUAGUAAGUGACAGUAAAGAACAAGACGCUAUCCAUAUGUCGAUCAACAAAUAUGAUACGGCUUCUGGUACCAUGGCGAGAGACACAGCAGUUCGAUGCAGGACAACUAUGCGUCCAGAUUUGUGGUGGGAAAGGUUUGGGCCUGAUUGCCCAGAAUUAAGGAAGCUUGCAAUUAGAAUCCUCAGUCAAACAUGUAGUGCAACUGGAUGUGAAAGAAAUUGGAGUGUAUUUCAGCACAUCCAUAGUAAGAAGAGGAAUAGGCUGGAACAUAAAAGGUUGAAUGACCUUGUUUAUGUUCGUUAUAAUAUGAAGUUGAGACAAAGGCAACUAGAAACAACAUCUACGAGGAAGCAUCACAAUCAAUAUGAUCCUAUCUUCAUUGACCAUUUUGAUAUAUUAGAUUCUUGGGUUGAAGAAGAACCAGCUGCAAUACUUGAUGAGGACGAUCUUGAUUUUUUGAAUGUUGAAGGAGCAGCAGAGAUUGUUGAAGAAGGAGAGGUUGGGUCGGAGCAAUGGAAUGUUGGAGACAUUCCAUUUGCAACAGAGGGGAUAGAAGAAGAAGUUAUUGAAGAAAAUGAAGAUGAUGAUGAAGAAUGAAGAUGAUGAUGCAAAUGACGAUUGACGAUGCUUUUUGUUUUGAGUUUUGAAAACUAUGUCAAUAUGUUCUGAGUUUUGACUUCUGAACUUAUGAAUUGUGAUGUAAUUGAAUACUCUUAGGUUGUUUAGUAUGUUAUUUUGUUUUUUGAAUGUUUGAUUUCUUAUUUUGGAAUGUCUUGUUCAUAUGCAUACCUCAUACUUCAUAGUUCAUAUACAUGAAUGAUGAAUGUUCCUUUACUUUAAAUACAUUUUUCUUGAAUUUUUCUGAUUUUUACUAGUUUUUUCGGAUUUUUUUAGAUUUUUUCUGAUUUUUUUCUAUUUUUUAUAAAUUUUUAAUAUUUUUUACAAAUUAAAAAAUUAAUUUUACGAUACGUUACGAUACAUUUACGCUACGUUACGAUACAGCGUAUAGGUCGGCCCGACCGAUACACGAUACGAUACGGCAGUGAUAACAUU